AAACAGUCUCCUAUGUAUUGAAUCUUUGGCAGUUUUGACCCCCAAUGUCACUUUUGACUUAGUCUUCGUUGACGUGGCACCAACAAUGGUCAACACGUGGCACCUCACUUAAGGGAUGUGCGUGCCACGUCAGCGAAGACUAAGUCAAAAGUGGCCUUGGGGCCAAAACUGCCAAAGAUUCAAUACAUAGGAGUUUGUUU
rfam:Medicago truncatula strain A17 chromosome 1, whole genome shotgun sequence.